rnacentral:rRNA from 1 species
GACGAACGCUGGCGGCGUGCUUAACACAUGCAAGUCGAACGGAAAGGCCCUGCUUUUGUGGGGUGCUCGAGUGGCGAACGGGUGAGUAACACGUGAGUAACCUGCCCUUGACUUUGGGAUAACUUCAGGAAACUGGGGCUAAUACCGGAUAGGAGCUCCUGCUGCAUGGUGGGGGUUGGAAAGUUUCGGCGGUUGGGGAUGGACUCGCGGCUUAUCAGCUUGUUGGUGGGGUAGUGGCUUACCAAGGCUUUGACGGGUAGCCGGCCUGGGAGGGUGACCGGCGACAUUGGUACUGCGAUACGGCGCAGACUCCUACGGGAGGCAGCGGUCGAGAAUAUUGCACAAUGGGCGGAAGCCUGAUGCAGCAACGCCGCGUGCGUGAUGCCGGCCUUCGGGUUGUAAACCGCUUUCGCCUGUGACGAAGCGUUAGUGACGGUAAUGGGUAAAGAAGCACCGGCUAACUACGUG